CCUCCCUAUGGGCCCUCCCUCCCUAUGGUAGGUAAACAUUAGAUAUAAACCCUUAGUUGGUAGGUAAACACUAGAUAUAAACCCUUAGUUGGUAGGUAAACAUUAGAUAUAAACCCUUAGUUGGUAGGUAAACAUUAGAUAUAAACCCUUAGUUGGUAGGUAAACAUUAGAUAUAAACCCUUAGUUGGUAGGUAAACAUUAGAUAUAAACCCUUAGUUGGUAGGUAAACAUUAGAUAUAAAUGUGAGUUCUUGGACUGCCCAAAGUGAGCCAGCAAGAUAGACUUAAUGAGGUACAGUAUACAAGCGUAAACAGAGUAGAUGCCCCAGCAGACAGACAGGUUAUUAAACUCACUGAGGUAGAAGUGGAAACAGAGUAGAUGCCCCAGCAGACAGACAGGUUAUUAAACUCACUGAGGUAGAAGUGGAAACAGAGUAGAUGCCCCAGCAGACAGACAGGUUAUUAAACUCACUGAGGUAGAAGUGGAAACAGAGUAGAUGCCCCAGCAGACAGACAGGUUAUUAAACUCACUGAGGUAGAAGUGGAAACAGAGUAGAUGCCCCAGCAGACAGACAGGUUAUUAAACUCACUGAGGUAGAAGUGGAAACAGAGUAGAUGCCCCAGCAGACAGACAGGUUAUUAAACUCACUGAGGUAGAAGUGGAAACAGAGUAGAUGCCCCAGCAGACAGACAGGUUAUUAAACUCACUGAGGUAGAAGUGGAAACAGAGUAGAUGCCCCAGCAGACAGACAGGUUAUUAAACUCACUGAGGUAGAAGUGGAAACAGAGUAGAUGCCCCAGCAGACAGACAGGUUAUUAAACUCACUGAGGUAGAAGUGGAAACAGAGUAGAUGCCCCAGCAGACAGACAGGUUAUUA